GGCCGUAUAGCAGGGGAGAAAAAAAAAACGAUGAGCAGGACUCAGGAGGCAGCAAAAACAAUUGAGCGCCGAGACAAAUGCAGAAGCGCAAGUCAGCAGGCGGCACAGCAUAAUAUUAUACAGUAAGCAGAGACACUGAAAGGGAGGAGCCACCCACCAGAGCGGUAGUAGUAGUAGUAUCAGACAGAGAAGACGAGGAACAGAUCUGUGCCAGGCGGAAGAAAGGCAUCGUCAAUCACUCGACCCAAAAGCUGCAGUUAAGGACUUAAAAACACGAGGAUAGCUGGUACGUGAUCAAUCAAUCAAUUUGCUCGCUCGUCCGUCUGGCUCUACUAGAGGUUGAUUGAGUCAUCAAGGUUAAGUUUUAUCGCUUGGUGUCAAUUUUUGUCACUAAGUUUACAUAAAUUACAUCCAUCGCUCUUUAGGAGGGCUUAUAAAAGUCGGGUCCGGAGAAAGGAACAAAGGAAGCAGGAAGGAAGAAGAAUGUCACCAUUGUUCCUCGGGGAGGCAAAAUUCACCACCAGCGCUAGAAGAGAGAAAAGCUAUCAAAGCUCCAAGCCAGCCAAGCUUGACGACGCUUCUCUCUGGACAUCCCCCGGCAUUUACAUGAAGGAUGGAGACUUGUAUCCAAUGUGAUACACCAAAGAUACUUAUAAUCUCUCUGAGGAGCUGGUUAACUUCUGGACUGCGCUUGAAAGGGGCUUUUGGACGUGGAACCGGUGAAAGCGAGCGCUCGCUCGCUCUACCUGUUGGCUAUCGGCUUACUAAUUCGCGAGAUGGCGACGAAGCAGCGGGAUUUAUACUUAGAGAGCUCCAAAGCCAGGGAGAAUUUUAUCAGGACGAAGAUUGUGAGUGAGCUAGAAACUUUGGACCACAGGCAAGAAACUCACAUUUGGUUUUUGAGGCCCACUGUUUUUUCCUUGCUUUUUUGUGGAUUGCAGCCUCACCACUGCCACUCUACAAGUGGAGAGUGAUUCCAUCUAUUCCAGUCCAUCAAUCUCCCCUACAAGCAUGUUUUUCCACAGAUUCAAAGAACCAACACAUUGAGAUGGUAUCUCUGCUUGUUGGACAGUGAGUAUUUGUGUACUCUGUACGUUGCAAAAGCCAACAUUGUGGUGUGUUCCUUGAGAAAAAAACAAAGCCAGAAAUUAGUUUUUUCUUA